UACGUAGGGUGCGAGCGUUAAUCGGAAUUACUGGGCGUAAAGCGUGCGCAGGCGGCUUUGCAAGACAGAUGUGAAAUCCCCGGGCUCAACCUGGGAACUGCAUUUGUGACUGCAAGGCUAGAGUACGGCAGAGGGGGAUGGAAUUCCGCGUGUAGCAGUGAAAUGCGUAGAUAUGCGGAGGAACACCAAUGGCGAAGGCAAUCCCCUGUGCCUGUACUGACGCUCAUGCACGAAAGCGUGGGGAGCAAACAGG
rnacentral:rRNA from 1 species